rnacentral:lncRNA from 1 species
AGCCAACCCUGUGGUAGCAGGAGAGCAUCCUCAGGAAGCAGGUGUUGUGAUAGGCCCCAUUUUGUCAAUGAAGGCACUGAAGCUCAGGACAUAAACUGAUUUGUCAUAGGGCACACCUGGAAAUGGUGACAGUGGCCAAGCCAAGACUGGAGCCCAGGCAUGCCUCUCACCGAUGCCUUAUCUCUAAGAUUCUCCAACAGCUGUCAGCCGACAACAUGCUCAACAUGUAAUAUAGCUAAUCCUUCAAAGCCAACAAGAAUGUGAAGGCCGGUGCAACCUUGAAAACUACUUUGACCAACCUUAACCGCACAAUGACUCUUACUCUGUCCAUAAUAGUGUUUAAGGACAGAUUUUCCCUAUCUUAAACAACAGCAGAGACUGACCAAGUGCUCAUAAUUACCCGUAACAUGCCCACUAAUUUAGCUUGACAAAUUUUAGUCAGGCUUCUCUCCUCCUCAUAGGUUCCUGAACUUUGGCUCAUCCCCAGGCUUAAGCAAGCACUAAGAUACACACACUCCACCCCACCCCCCCUUAACAGCUCAUUCUGAGAACAGGCUAACUACAGAGAGAAACAUUACCUGUUCCCAU